AUUGAACGCUGGCGGCAGGCCUAACACAUGCAAGUCGACCGAGCGGCGGACGGGUGAGUAAUGUAUGGGGACUGCCCGAUAGAGGGGGAUAACUACUGGAAACGGUGGCUAAUACCGCAUACUAUCGGAUAACCCAUAUGGGAUUAGCUAUGAGGUGGGGUACAGGCUCACCUAGGCGACGAUCUCUAGCUGGUCUGAGAGGAUGAUCAGCCACACGGAGACUGAUACACGGCCCAGACUCCUACGGAGGCAGCAGCGGGGAAUUUUGCACUAUGGGCGCAAGCCUGAUGCUGCCCUGCCGCUUGUAUGAAGGACGCGUUAGGGUUGUAAAGUGCUUUCAGCGUCGAGGCGUUACCCCCAGAUGUAGCGCCGGCUAACUCCAUGCAAGCAGCCGCGGUAAUUC
rnacentral:rRNA from 1 species